rnacentral:misc_RNA from 1 species
GAUGAAGAACGCAGCGAAAUGCGAUAAGUAAUGCGAAUUGCAGAAUUUCCGUGAGUCAUCGAAUCUUUGAACGCACAUUGCGCCCAUUGGUAUUCCGAGGGGCAUGCCUGUUCGAGCGUCAUUUCACCACUCAAGCCUGGCUUGGUGUUGGGCGACGUCCCCUUUGGGGACGCGCCUCGAAACGCUCGGCGGCGUGGCACCGGCUUUAAGCGUAGCAGAAUCUUUCGCUUUGGAAGUCGGGGCCCCGUCUGCCGGAAGACCUACUCGCAAGGUUGACCUCGGAUCAGGCAGGGAUACCCGCUGAACUUAAGCAUAUCAAUAAGCGGAGGA